GGCAGAAAAACUAUUUCUCCUCAGCUGGAUGGUGGUUAUUUUGUGUGUGUCUGUUUGGGGGCUUUAUUUUGAUCCACCUCAAGCAGAAGAUAUGCUGGCCAGAAGAGACUCUGAAGACAUCGAGGGCAUAGGCGGGGAGGGUAGAAAAUAAGAAAUUUAAAGUAAUAAAAGUUGUGGGUUUUCUAUACUAGAUAAUGAGAAAUGAUGAACUAAAUAUACAGUAUUUCUACAUUCUUUGGCAUGCACAUGAAAUAAAGUCAUACUUUUUUUCAACAAAUACAACAGCUGCAAAAGUAGGUAAAUUUUAUUUCAUAAACUUACCUUUCUUUAGAUGAUUUUCUUUGUUUUUCAUAUUUUUAGUUUCAAAUGCUUUGUGAGAUCUCUAGAUGCCGUUUAGUUUUAUAAGAGGGCUUAAUAUUAAACUUGGGUUAAAUACGUAUAUGUUUAUUUGAAUAUUUCACUUGCUUUCAAUUGUUUGUUUUGCUUUUAAUGACAAGGAUUUUAUUUGAUCUUUAUAAAAUUUGUAUAUGCAAAUACAAAAAAUAUUUUCCUUUCUAUUUCUUAUGAGGUCAAAUUUUUAAAUUAACUAAAAGAGGGGCAAAAACUUGUACUUGAUAAAUAUCUGUGCAUAAUAAAAAGAAAUCCCAGACUA
rnacentral:lncRNA from 1 species